rnacentral:lncRNA from 1 species
GUCCAUCGUCCUUAUAGUUGUAACAGAAGGGAAACAGCCAACUCCUACAACUCGCGAGUGACAGGAGAUCACUCGGCUUUUACCGCUUCCUAGUUAAGCAUGGCAACUACUCGGUCCAACAGCUAGUGUUUGAAACAGGGAACUAAGUCAUGCAUCUAUGGUUCCAAACAACUCCUAUACGUAAAUGCACAAACAAGAUAAAGAAGGCAUGCGCAAG